GGAUCAGUGACAAGAUAUGAAAUUUGGCUUUUUUAAGCAAGGCAAUGCCAAGAUACACAGUGGUAGGUGUUUUGUCCCAGUCUCAAGCUAGCAAUACUUUUUGAGUGUAUCUAGUAGAAGUAAGCAUGCAGAUCGUUCCCUUUGAGACCGGCUAGCUAUUUUGUUCUUUUUUUGUUUUAAAUUUGAAUGUCACUAUCUACUUUGAAAUAGAAUUAUUUAGUAUUUGAAAUCAUUAACUGAAUUCUACUUUGUAGCUGAAUUCUCUUGUAAAUAUUAAUAUUUACUUUGUAGCUGAAUUCUAUUAUUUUGGUAUGA